AGUCGAGCGAGCAAAGUUAAAGGAAUACUUCGGUAGGAAUUUAAUAGCGCGAGCGGCGGAUGGGUGAGUAACACGUGGGCAACCUGCCCUUUAGCUUGGGAUACCACUUGGAAACAGGUGCUAAUACCAAAUAAGAAGUAAGAGCGCAUGCUCAAGCUAUGAAAGGCGGCUUUCGAGCUGUCACUAAAGGGUGGGCCCGCGGUGCAUUAGCUAGUUGGUAAGGCAACGGCUUACCAAGGCAAUGAUGCAUAGCCGAGUUGAGAGACUGAUCGGCCACAUUGGGACUGAGACACGGCCCAAGCUCCUACGGGAGGCAGCAGUAGGGAAUCUUCCACAAUGGACGCAAGUCUGAUGGAGCGACGCCGCGUGAGUGAAGAAGGUUUUCGGAUCGUAAAGCUCUGUUGUUGGUGAAGAAGGACAUGGAUAGUAACUGAUCUAUGUUUGACGGUAAUCAACCAGAAAGUCACGGCUAACUACGUGCCAGCAGCCGCGGUAAUACGUAGGUGGCAAGCGUUGUCCGGAUUUAUUGGGCGUAAAGCGAACGCAGGCGGGAGAACAAGUCAGCUGUGAAAGCCCUCGGCUUAACCGAGGAACGGCAACUGAAACUGUUUUUCUUGAGUGCAGAAGAGGAGAGUGGAACUCCAUGUGUAGCGGUGAAAUGCGUAGAUAUAUGGAAGAACACCAGUGGCGAAGGCGGCUCUCUGGUCUGUAACUGACGCUGAGGUUCGAAAGCAUGGGUAGCGAACAGGAUUAGAUACCCUGGUAGUCCAUGCCGUAAACGAUGAGUGCUAAGUGUUGGGAGGUUUCCGCCUCUCAGUGCUGCAGCUAACGCAUUAAGCACUCCGCCUGGGGAGUACGACCGCAAGGUUAAAACUCAAAGGAAUUGAC
rnacentral:rRNA from 1 species